CACCUAUCAGCGCCAGGGAACUACAAGCAACGCUUAAAACCCAAAGGAUUUGACGGUGUCCCACCCACCUAGAGGAGCCUGUUCUAUAAUCGAUAACCCCCGCUAUACCUAACCAUCCCUCGCCUAUCAGUCUGUAUACCUCCGUCGAAAGCUUACCAUGUGAACGUACUUAGUAAGCUUAAUGAUCCACAUCAAUACGUCAGGUCAAGGUGCAGCUUACGGAAUGGAAAGUAAUGGGCUACAAUUUCUAACUUAGAACAAACGAAAGGCUACGUGAAACCCUAGCCCCGAAGGCGGAUUUAGUAGUAAAAAGAAAAUAGAGAGUUCUUUUUAACCCGGCUCUGGGACGCGUACACACCGCCCGUCACCCUCUUCGAUAGUACCUAACCUGUUUUUAACCUACCCCCUACGCCAUA
rnacentral:rRNA from 1 species